AACGCACGAGACCUGCGGACCUGCGGAGGGAUCAUUACCAAUUUUAUAUUAUUAGUUUGUGACUCUCCGUCAAACGAGGGCUCACACAACUACUACUGUAAACGUUGAACUAGAUCAUUGGUUGUGGAUUGCUUGGGAAUGGACGAAGCGACAAGCCUCUUCCGGACAGGCAAACCCCACACACCGAUAACCUUUUCAUAUAUUACAACUAGUACAUACUACAAACACACAACAAACAAA
rnacentral:misc_RNA from 1 species